rnacentral:rRNA from 1 species
CAAGCAUUAUCCUGCGAAUGGAUUGAGAGCUUGCUCUCAAAAGUUAGCGGCGGAAGGGUGAGUAAGACGUGGGUAACCUGGCCAUAAAACUGGGAUAACUCCGGGAACCGGGGCUAAUACCGGAUAAUAUUUUGAACUGGAUGGUUCAAAAUUGAAAGGCGGCUUCGGCUGGCACUUAUGGAUGGAACCCCCUCCCAAUGCCUAGUUGGUGAAGUAACGUGUAAAUAAGACAACCAUGCUAACAAUAACAUUAAUGGCCUCCACCACGAUUGGGAUCAGUCCGGCCUUCUCACGGAGGGAAGGAAAACAAGGCGAGCCAAAUAGAAAGAAAUCAAAGCAGAACAAGCCCGCAUGAGAAAAGAACGCCAGGUGUCCACAAAACAGUGGGACAGCACACAAGCGCUAUGCUGUCGAGGGACCUAGAGAGACAUACCCUCAUCCCGGGAUAAAGAGGGGGCGCCCCGAUAUUAUCUAGUGGCCGAAAAAAAAAUUAUUGCCGAUGCGCGGCGCCUGUAAAAAAAGAAGGAAGAAAGUUUAGGGGGUAAACUGGGGGGGGGUUUAGUGAAAACUGCGAAAACUUUAGUCGCAAAGGGGGAAAACCCCCCUUUCCCUGUUUACCGGUUAAUUUUUUAACGGUGUUCUACAACGAGCGCCUUUUUGGUGCGGGUUUUCCCUCCCGGGUUCUUACGCCCAAAAUGGGGGCACAAAAAACCACAGAAGAACCCCCCCUUUCAACAGGUGGGUGUUGCCUCAAUCACGCCGGAAAUUUUUCACGUGAAAAGUUGUGAACGCCGCUUUUCCCCCUCUUUGGAGGCAAAAUUUCCACCAUUUUUACCCGACGCCGCCCCGGGUGAAUACACGCGCGGGGGUCUUCUUCAUCUCGCAAUGUUAUGUGACCCGGGGCGUCCCCCCACUAUCUGCGGCAGCAAAAUAGGCUGUUAUAAAAUUCGCCGCAAGCCCCCCCACU